rnacentral:rRNA from 1 species
CCUACGGGUGGCUGCAGUCGAGGAUCUUCGGCAAUGGGCGCAAGCCUGACCGAGCGACGCCGCGUGCGGGAUGAAGGCCUUCGGGUUGUAAACCGCUGUCAGAGGGGAGGAAAUGCCUGGGGGUAAUCCAUAAUCCUCCAGGUUUGACCUAUCCUCAGAGGAAGUACGGGCUAAGUUCGUGCCAGCAGCCGCGGUAAGACGAACCGUACGAACGUUAUUCGGAAUCACUGGGCUUAAAGGGUGCGUAGGCGGCGCGGAAAGUUGGGUGUGAAAUCCCUCGGCUCAACCGAGGAACUGCGCCCAAAACUACCGUGCUCGAGGGAGACAGAGGUGAGCGGAACUUAGGGUGGAGCGGUGAAAUGCGUUGAUAUCCUAAGGAACACCUGUGGCGAAAGCGGCUCACUGGGUCUCUUCUGACGCUGAGGCACGAAAGCUAGGGG